AUGUGUAUAAGAGACAGUGUUUGACCCUCAGAAUGAUAAGCCCAGUAAGUGCUGGACUUGCUUUGUGAAGAGGCAGUUCAUGAACAAGAAUCUUUCAUGACCUGGACAGUAAAAGGAGCC